rnacentral:rRNA from 1 species
UACGGAGGGAGCUAGCGUUGCUCGGAAUCACUGGGCGUAAAGCGCACGUAGGCGGGUCGUUAAGUCGGGGGUGAAAUCCUGGAGCUCAACUCCAGAACUGCCUUCGAUACUGGCGAUCUUGAGUCUGGGAGAGGUGAGUGGAACUCCGAGUGUAGAGGUGAAAUUCGUAGAUAUUCGGAAGAACACCAGUGGCGAAGGCGGCUCACUGGCCCGGUACUGACGCUGAGGUGCGAAAGCGUGGGGAGCAAACAGG